AUUGAAUUUUUAAAAUUAAGAAAUCCGUGAUUUUACUUGCAGGCAUGACUGAUAAAUGGAAUUAUUUUACUUUUAUAUAGAAUAUGGACGGCACUCCAGUACAGCAUGUGCAUGGUUGGACCUGUUGACAUUUUUAGAAACGCAUCUUGGUCUAUUAUACAGAGUAUUGUUGUACUGCUCGAAAGUGCUUGUUGACAGACUGAAACCACUUGCUUGCAGCUCAUAAGGUUUACUUCUUGAGAGCAGGCAGCUACAAAAUGGAAGGUCAACAAAUCCAGUAUACUUGAAAAGCAAGAAAGAAACACCAGAAAAUAUGAAAAGACAGAAAUACAAGGGAACUUGAAUAAAAAAAAAACUUUUAAGGAUAGGAAUUCAGGAUUUACUUGGAAACUAAAUUUAUUUUGAGAGCAGUAGUGAUUGACUAAGCUCUGUUACUUUAAGAGAUAAUGUAUUAUCACAUUGGUUUUGUUAUUGUCGAGCCCGAUUGCGGAAGCGAAGACAUAGUUGUCUAAAUGUCUGUUCGGUGUAUGUGCGUGCGUGCGUCUGUCCGGAUUUGUUUGUCCAGACCAUAACUUGGACAUGCAUGGAGCAAUCUUGUUUAUAUUUUGUAUGAAUGUUAACCUCAGUGAGACGGAGUGUCAUGCACAAACCCCAGGUUCCUAUCUCAAAGGCCAAGGUCACACUUACAGGUCAAAGGUCAAAUUCAAAAAUGACUUUGUCUGGAGCAUUUCUUCUUCAUGCAUGGAAGGAUUUUGAUGUAACUUGGCACAAUUGUUCACCAUCAUGAGAUGGAGUGUGAUGCGCAAGAACCAGGUCCCUAGGUCUAAGGUCAAGGUCACACUUAGAGGUCAAAGGAUACAAGAAUGACAACUUUGUCCGGAGUAUUUCUUCUUCAUGCAUGGAGGGAUUUUGAUGUAACUUGGCACAAAUGUUCACCACCAUGAGACGGAGUGUCAUGGGGAAGAACCAGUUCCCUAGGUCUAAGAUCAAGGCCACACUUAGAGGUCAAAAGUCAGAUACAAGAAUGACUUUGUCUGGAGCAUUUCUUUUUGAUGCAUAGAGGGAUUUUGAUGUAACUUGGCACAAUUGUUCUCAUCAUGCGACGGAGGGUCAUGCAUAAGAUCUAGAAUUACUUCCCUUUGUUGUUACUAUAAAUAGCUUACAUUUGUAACUGUUUUAUUACUGGUCAUAGGGAAAAAUCAAGACCACUUUUCUGUAGUACAACAUGCAUGUUACAUCCAAUUUUCAGGUGUAUUUUGACCUAUCUCUGGUGGUGCGGAUUUUUGUGUGGACUUAGAAUUUUUAUAUAUUUUUUUUUUUUUUUUUUUUUUUUUUAAAUUUUUUUUUAAAUUUACGUUCCUUUGUUGUUACUGUAAAUAAUCUAUAUUGUAACUUUUUGCAAUCUCUUUUAUUUGGCAUAAAUGUUUGCCUCAGUGAGACAAGGAGUGUCAUGUACGACUCCCAGUCCUUUUGACAGCUGGCGGGCUCGACAUAUUGCCCAUGGGCAUCUAGUUCUCAUAAAACAUACUAAAGUUUCAUUAAUCUUAUUUUAGAUAAUUGUUUUCUGGUUUAUUUUGUAAAGAAUGUCUACUACAUUGUAAUUAACAUAGUUACAGUAAAGUAAUAUUUUUCAUGAGAUUUUAAAGAGACUGUUCUGUUAUACCCCCAUGUAGUAAGCUUGUCUGUCUUUCAGUCAGUAGGUUUUCAUGGCUUCCAGAUGAUAACUCAUGAAAAGCUUGACCGAUUUAAAUAUUUUUUGGUACAUAGGUACAGGUCAAGACGACUUUGGGGUCAGUAGGUCAAAGGUCAAGAUAACUUGCAAACGCUUUGGCCUGGGAUCAUAGCUUUUGUAACACAGGUGUAACAUGAUAAAAUACAGGUUGUUUGAAUUUGAGGUCAAUAGAUCAAAGGUCAAGGUCACAGUGA